rnacentral:rRNA from 1 species
GACAGAGGGUGCUAGCGUUGUUCGGAAUUACUGGGCGUAAAGGGCGCGUAGGCGGUCUGUUAAGUUCGGUGUGAAAUCCCCUGGCUCAACUGGGGAACUGCGCUGGAAACUGGCAGACUCGAGUACCGGAGAGGAGAGUGGAAUUCCUGGUGUAGCGGUGAAAUGCGUAGAUAUCAGGAGGAACACCGGUGGCGAAGGCGGCUCUCUGGACGGAUACUGACGCUGAGGCACGAAAGCGUGGGGAGCAAACAGG